UACGUAGGGACCAAGCGUUGUUCGGAUUUACUGGGCGUAAAGGGCGCGUAGGCGGCAAUUCAAGUCAUCUGUGAAAUCUCCGGGCUUAACUCGGAACGGUCAGGUGAAACUGCUUUGCUAGAGUGCGGAAGGGGCAAUCGGAAUUCUCGGUGUAGCGGUGAAAUGCGUAGAUAUCGAGAGGAACACCUGAGGUGAAGACGGGUUGCUGGGCCGACACUGACGCUGAAGCGCGAAAGCCAGGGGAGCGAACGGG
rnacentral:rRNA from 1 species